rnacentral:snoRNA from 1 species
UUGGCCCUGAAUCAAAGCCGGCAGUUUUGCUGAAGUUGCUGGUUUCAAACAGGAGCCUAAAGAAAUGUCUUUCUAUAGUCUGUUGGUCAUUAGAAAGUUCAGAAAUUUGGAAAUGUGAUGGUCAAUGCAUUAGAAUAAAACAUCU